rnacentral:rRNA from 1 species
UUAAGUUAAUAAGGGCGCACGGUGGAUGCCUUGGCACUAGAAGCCGAUGAAGGACGUGACUAACGACGAAAUGCUUUGGGGAGCUGUAAGUGAGCAAUGAUCCAGAGAUGUCCGAAUGGGGGAACCCGGCAGGUAAUGCCUGUCACUCAUUACUGUUAAGGUAAUGUAGAGGAAGACGCAGUGAACUGAAACAUCUAAGUAGCUGUAGGAAGAGAAAGCAAAAGCGAUUGCCUUAGUAGCGGCGAGCGAAACGGCAAGAGGGCAAACCGAAGAGUUUACUCUUCGGGGUUGUAGGACUGCAACGUGGACUUAAAGAUUAUAGAAGAACUACCUGGGAAGGUAGGCCAAAGAGAGUAAUAGCCUCGUAUUCGAAAUAGUCUUUAUACCUAGCAGUAUCCUGAGUACGGCGAGACACGAGAAAUCUCGUCGGAAUCUGGGAGGACCAUCUCCCAACCCUAAAUACUCUCUAGUGACCGAUAGUGAACCAGUACCGUGAGGGAAAGGUGAAAAGCACCCCGGGAGGGGAGUGAAAUAGAACCUGAAACCGUGUGCCUACAACAAGUUCGAGCCCGUUAAUGGGUGAGAGCGUGCCUUUUGUAGAAUGAACCGGCGAGUUACGAUAUGAUGCGAGGUUAAGUUGAAGAGACGGAGCCGUAGGGAAACCGAGUCUUAAUAGGGCGCAUUAGUAUCAUGUCGUAGACCCGAAACCAUGUGACCUACCCAUGAGCAGGUUGAAGGUGAGGUAAAACUCACUGGAGGACCGAACCAGGGCACGUUGAAAAGUGCUUGGAUGACUUGUGGGUAGCGGAGAAAUUCCAAACGAACUUGGAGAUAGCUGGUUCUCUCCGAAAUAGCUUUAGGGCUAGCGUCGAUGUUAAGUCUCUUGGAGGUAGAGCACUGUUUGGGUGAGGGGUCCAUCCCGGAUUACUAAUCUCAGAUAAACUCCGAAUGCCAAUGAGAUAUAAUCGGCAGUCAGACUGCGAGUGCUAAGAUCCGUAGUCGAAAGGGAAACAGCCCAGACCACCAGCUAAGGUCCCAAAAUAUAUGUUAAGUGGAAAAGGAUGUGGGGUUGCACAGACAACUAGGAUGUUAGCUUAGAAGCAGCUAUUCAUUCAAAGAGUGCGUAAUAGCUCACUAGUCGAGUGACCCUGCGCCGAAAAUGUACCGGGGCUAAAACAUAUUACCGAAGCUGUGGAUACCUUUAUAGGUAUGGUAGGAGAGCGUUCUAUGUGCGAAGAAGGUGUACCGUGAGGAGUGCUGGAGCGCAUAGAAGUGAGAAUGCCGGUAUGAGUAGCGAAAGACAGGUGAGAAUCCUGUCCACCGUAAGACUAAGGUUUCCAGGGGAAGGCUCGUCCGCCCUGGGUUAGUCGGGACCUAAGGAGAGACCGAAAGGUGUAUCCGAUGGACAACAGGUUGAUAUUCCUGUACUAGAGUAUAUAGUGAUGGAGGGACGCAGUAGGCUAACUAAACCAGACGAUUGGAAGUGUCUGGCCAAGCAGUGAGGUGUGAUAUGAGUCAAAUGCUUAUAUCUUUAACAUUGAGCUGUGAUGGGGAGCGAAGUUUAGUAGCGAAGUUAGUGAUGUCACACUGCCGAGAAAAGCUUCUAGCGUUAAUUAUACUCUACCCGUACCGCAAACCGACACAGGUAGUCGAGGCGAGUAGCCUCAGGUGAGCGAGAGAACUCUCGUUAAGGAACUCGGCAAAAUGGCCCCGUAACUUCGGGAGAAGGGGCGCUGACUGAUGGUCAGCCGCAGUGAAUAGGCCCAAGCAACUGUUUAUCAAAAACACAGCUCUCUGCUAAAUCGUAAGAUGAUGUAUAGGGGGUGACGCCUGCCCGGUGCUGGAAGGUUAAGAGGAGUGCUUAGCGUAAGCGAAGGCAUGAAUUGAAGCCCCAGUAAACGGCGGCCGUAACUAUAACGGUCCUAAGGUAGCGAAAUUCCUUGUCGGGUAAGUUCCGACCCGCACGAAAGGCGUAAUGAUUUGGGCACUGUCUCAACGAGAGACUCGGUGAAAUUUUAGUACCUGUGAAGAUGCAGGUUACCCGCGACAGGACGGAAAGACCCCAUGGAGCUUUACUGCAGUUUGAUAUUGAGUAUCUGUACCACAUGUACAGGAUAGGUAGGAGCCUAUGACCUCGGGACGCCAGUUUCGAGUGAGGCGUUGUUGGGAUACUACCCUUGUGUUAUGGCUACUCUAACCCAGAUAGGUUAUCCCUAUCGGAGACAGUGUCUGACGGGCAGUUUGACUGGGGCGGUCGCCUCCUAAAAGGUAACGGAGGCGCCCAAAGGUUCCCUCAGAAUGGUUGGAAAUCAUUCGCAGAGUGUAAAGGUAUAAGGGAGCUUGACUGCGAGAGCUACAACUCGAGCAGGGACGAAAGUCGGGCUUAGUGAUCCGGUGGUUCCGUAUGGAAGGGCCAUCGCUCAACGGAUAAAAGCUACCCUGGGGAUAACAGGCUUAUCUCCCCCAAGAGUUCACAUCGACGGGGAGGUUUGGCACCUCGAUGUCGGCUCGUCGCAUCCUGGGGCUGUAGUCGGUCCCAAGGGUUGGGCUGUUCGCCCAUUAAAGCGGCACGCGAGCUGGGUUCAGAACGUCGUGAGACAGUUCGGUCCCUAUCCGUCGCGGGCGUAGGAAAUUUGAGAGGAUCUGCUCCUAGUACGAGAGGACCAGAGUGGACUUACCGCUGGUGUACCAGUUGUUCUGCCAAGAGCAUCGCUGGGUAGCUAUGUAGGGAAGGGAUAAACGCUGAAAGCAUCUAAGUGUGAAGCCCACCUCAAGAUGAGAUUUCCCAUGAUUUUAUAUCAGUAAGAGCCCUGAGAGAUGAUCAGGUUGAUAGGUUAGAAGUGGAAGUGUGGUGACACAUGUAGCGGACUAAUACUAAUAGCUCGAGGACUUAUCCAA